UUUAAAAUGAAAAUUUAAAUUUAAAUUAAUAUAAACUAAGUUAGCUAAAUCAUAAAACUAAAAUAAAACUUGAAAUUACAAACCAUAGGAAUAUAAAAAAAAAUAAAAAAAACUAAGUCAAAUUCUUGCAUCAGUUAUCAAUACAACACUUCUUAACCAAAAAUCAAUUGCAGAAAAAUUAUAGAACAAAAAAAUAGAUAAACCCAAUCUCAGAUACAAAGUUACAAACAAUGUAAAAAAUGAGGAAAAUCCACAACACCAAAACCAAUGAACUCAAACUCAAAGAUUUGAACGAUGUCAGAUAACCAAAAAUCAAAGACACGUUAUUAUCCAAAUGAUUCAAAUAUCCAGCCGUUGCUCAUCCACUUCAUUGCCUCAGAUCUCAGCCCAAUGAUGCCGAACCAGAAACCCACCCCGGCAUCAACUCAUGUCGUCUUUCAAGUCGCCGACGUGAAAGGAGAAGUAGAGGAAAACGAAGGAGAGGGAGGAAUCCAUUCAUCCAACCCAGAUCUAGAGCAUCUCCCUUGCCUAGAUCUCAUCUAAGCGCUGCCUCUAUCGAACCCUCCUCACUUUCGUCCAAGAAUCUGAAGGUCAGCUGGAGAAGAUUGAGGGUAGAGAGGAUGGGGAAGAAGAGAUUUGAUGUGCGUGUGUAUGGGUGAUCAAUUUUUGAUGGGAUGUUUUUCAUAUAGUUUUAUUUAAUUUUAAGAUUUAUUUUAGUCUUAA